CAGCCGCCGCGGUAAUACGUAGGGUGCGAGCGUUAAUCGGAUUUACUGGGCGUAAAGCGUGCGCAGGCGGCCCGUUAAGACAGGUGUGAAAUCCCUGGGCUCAACCUAGGAAUUGCGCUUGUGACUGGCGGGCUCGAGUACGGUAGAGGGGGGUGGAAUUCCUGGUGUAGCAGUGAAAUGCGUAGAGAUCAGGAGGAACACCGAUGGCGAAGGCAGCCCCCUGGGCCUGUACUGACGCUCAUGCACGAAAGCGUGGGGAGCAAACAGGAUUAGAUACCCUGGUGGUCCACGCCCUAAACGAUGGGUACUAGCCGUUUGGUGCGCGAUAGCGCUGAGUGGCGAAGCUAACGCGUGAAGUCCCCCGCCUGGGGAGUACGGCCGCAAGGUUGAAACUUAAAGGAAUUGGCGGG
rnacentral:rRNA from 1 species